rnacentral:rRNA from 1 species
UACGUAGGAUGCAAGCGUUAUCCGGAAUGAUUGGGCGUAAAGGGUCCGCAGGUGGCUAUGUAAGUCUGCUGUCAAAGAAUGAGGCUUAACCUCAUCAAGGCAGUGGAAACUACAUAGCUAGAGUACGGUCGGGGUAGAAGGAAUUCCUGGUGUAGCGGUGAAAUGCGUAGAGAUCAGGAAGAACACCGGUGGCGAAAGCGUUCUGCUAGACCUGUACUGACACUGAGGGACGAAAGCUAGGGGAGCGAAUGGG